GACGAACGCUGGCGGCGUGCCUAAUACAUGCAAGUCGAGCGAAGCGGCGGAUGGGUGAGUAACGCGUGGGUAACCUACCCUUAAGUCUGGGAUACCAUUUGGAAACAGAUGCUAAUACCGGAUACUAAAGGAUGGACCUGCGAUGCAUUAGCUAGUGGGUAAGGUAACGGCUUACCAAGGCGAUGAUGCAUAGCCGAUUUGAGAGACUGAGCGGCCACAUUGGGACUGAGACACGGCCCAAACUCCUACGGGAGGCAGCAGUAGGGAAUCUUCCACAAGGGACGAAAGUCUGAUGGAGCAACGCCGCGUGAGUGAAGAAGGUUUUCGGAUCGUAAAGCUCUGUUGUUGGAGAAGCGGUAAUCAACCAGAAAGCCACGGCUAACUACGUGCCAGCCGCCGCGGUAAUUC
rnacentral:rRNA from 1 species